GACGAACGCUGGCGGCGUGCUUAACACAUGCGAGUCGAACGGAAAGGCCCCUUUGGGGGUACUCGAGUGGCGAACGGGUGAGUAACACGUGCGUAACCUGCCCUUGACUUCGGGAUAACUUCAGGAAACUGGGGCUAAUACCGGCUAGGAAUCCUUGCUGCAUGGUGGGGGUUGGAAAGCUUCGGCGGUUUUGGAUGGACUCGCGGCUUAUCAGCUUGUUGGUGGGGUAGUGGCUUACCAAGGCUUUGACGGGUAGCCGGCCUGAGAGGGCGACCGGCCACAUUGGGACUGGGAUACGGCCCAGACUCCUACGGGAGGCAGCAGUGGGGAAUAUUGCACAAUGGGCGGAAGCCUGAUGCAGCAACGCCGCGUGCGGGAUGACGGCCUUCGGGUUGGAAACCGCUUUCAGCAGGGGCGAAGCUUGUGGUGACGGUACCUGCAGAAGAAGCACCGGCUAACUACGUG
rnacentral:rRNA from 1 species